AAUACACAUUUCUAGGUGUUCUAAAUGGAAGCGUGGCUUUCUUUCCGAGGCGCACCUGAAGGCAGCACAGUAGCAGGCAGGUUAUCUUAUCUACAGGGCUGGGAGGUGUGUUUACAUUUCCACUGAAUGCAACGUGUCACUAGGAUCCCAGACUUAUCCCGAACUUGCGUGGUCGGAACUCCCGAGCCUCACCUCCUCUAACGCCGACGCUGGGCUGCAGUUUGGCGGACAGGAUGACCAGCACUAUCCCGAUGAUGAACCACUCCUUCCGCAGCCUCGCCAGGAGGCCCAUGGUUCCGCUGCAGGGGCUCAGCCUCCGGCCACCCCGCCGGCCCUCCUGUCGCUGCGGCCGGCCUCGAGUUUCUGCGACCUGCCGCUUCUUUUCCCUUCGGGGAGUUCUGUCAGACAACACCAGCGGAUCAGGGGGAACUUCUUCCGGACACGUGGUCCGCGGCGCCACCGUAACGACUGGGAGAGCGGCGCAAGGUAAUAAUUUACCGUAAUAUAC